rnacentral:rRNA from 1 species
UACGGAGGGAGCUAGCGUUGUUCGGAAUUACUGGGCGUAAAGCGUACGUAGGCGGCCAAUCAAGUCAGAGGUGAAAGCCCAGGGCUCAACCCUGGAAUUGCCUUUGAAACUAGUUGGCUCGAAGAUGGGAGAGGUGAGUGGAAUUCCGAGUGUAGAGGUGAAAUUCGUAGAUAUUCGGAAGAACACCAGUGGCGAAGGCGGCUCACUGGACCAUUCUUGACGCUGAGGUACGAAAGCGUGGGGAGCAAACAGG